UCUGGUUGGGACUCUGAACUCUACCCAGUGUAACCCCGGCUCCUACUGUCAACCAGCUGUAGGGUGGAUCGGUAACACGGCAUCCAUUCACAUUAUGCUGUGGACACACCUCACCUACUGCUGAGGUCUCACUUUCAGUUUUUCACACGCUGCCAUUUGUCACCAUACGUCGUAACGCAGACACAACAUUCAACUGACUAAAACGUUACGGCUAACGUGAUGCGUCCCGGUAUGUAAUGAACUCCUCGUUAUAAAAACAGAAACAGAAUUUGUCUCAGUUUAUGAAACUGGAUGAAAAGCAAGCAGACCGAAGGGUUCAACUCACCUUGUAAGAGUCCGUCGCAAGUUAACCAGGCAGCAAACACGAGUUGGGUGAAGAAGCCGACGUUAGGCUGGCUGAGGACACGCCAGAGGACGACAGAAAAAACGACUCUUCACCGUCGAUACCUUCAGAAUGUAGCCCUGAGUUGGUGCUGCGGGCCCAGGCUCCGCUGCUGCAGCGGUCAUUCGGUGGUCUGGCUCCGGUGGGGGUUGUUGGAAAGGGGCGGGUUUCGGCACGCAUGGCCUCGUGCACGUACUCUCAGCGCCCCUCUGACAUGCUACGUCAUGCUGCGUUCUAUGACACAUGGGAUUUUUUGUAACGAAGUUAGAGUAGCACUUUGUUAAGCUAGCUAUGUGUCUAAUUUCUUGUUCCACUUUGUCCUGCAGCUUAGUAAAUGUUUCUGAUGCAUUGAAAUGCUGAAUGUGGUGAAUAACACACUUAUCUACGGACAAGAAUAGUCCAUUGUUGCUUUGUAACUUACUGUGGUAACGGGGAGACAUGAAGGCAACACGAUGUGAUGAAGAGUCACAAGCUGCCCCCAUUGGCCUGAGAGAGCAACAUGGAUGUUUGAAGAACUGGACACAGGAUUACAACAAGGCCUUUUAUUCUAACGAAUGAAUCUGUAAAUACAGAGACAGCAGAAGUUUCCAUGCUUCCUCAUCGAAGUACCCGCUGGAAAUUGAAAAUUGCAAUGCAAGAGCACAAGACUGUAAACACGCUGUGUUGUUUAGGGUUGGUAAGAGAAGUAAAUAUACUCUUUAUUCCCACAUUUUCUUUUUGUUCGGUGCUGCAAAGAAAAAAUGCCGUUUGUUACAAACUGCGACAUUUCGUAACAUAAUUUGCAUGGUCCUGUCAUUGUAAGGUGCUCAAGGAGGCAUUAUCUGACAUUAUCUGUCAUCAGUCUUUCCAACUGACUGACUGACUGAGGGGGCGCUGUGCUGCUGUUAGCUGGGUGAUUCUCGGAAUCCGGUGCCCUUUAGGUCCCCCAGACUUACUUCAAAGAUUUUCAAUCAAAGGAAACCACAAAAAAAGACAUUUUAAGCCACUAAUGAAAUGAUGUGUUUUUGUACUAUGAUGCAAAACAAAAAUGAUUUUUUCAUGUUAUUAUAAAAUAAUGGGUUGUCUUAUAGACCCUUUAAUGACCCACGUCACGAAUGACGUCACAGCUUUAGCUGGAGGCAAAAGAGGAAGCCCGCGGCCGGACAGAAAGGCGAAAGACUGAGGGACUAGGCUCUAUCAACUUUUCUAAAAUGUCGUCCUGCUGUGUUUUUGGAUGCCAGAAUAGGAGGAAUGACAUUGGCGAACGCAAAUUAAAGUUUUAUGGGGAUGGCUAGUAACUACGUCAUCGUGUCCAAAAACGUCACUUCCGUGUCCUACCAAACCAACGAUAUAAUGGUUCUGUGUUGUGUCCUGUGUUGCAACAAUAGAAAUGAUGUAAAUAAAACGAUAUCUUUCUACCACUUUCCUCUGGACGAAAAGGAGAAGAGAAGAUGGCUGACACUGAUAAGGUAAGUCGGAUUUCUAAUCUUAGAAAAUACAUUUAGCGCCGGGAGCUAACGUGCGCUAGCUAGUAUUAGCCGCUUGAAUUAUGUUGUCUUUUUGUGUUAUGAGGAGUGUUUGGGCCACAUUACAAAAGAAACUAAAAGUGGUCGAGAUUAAAGUCUCUGAUAAUAAGUUUAUACUUUUAAUUUAUAAGAAUAAAGUCUGCCGAGGGAGACUUUUGUCCCAGUUUUGGGGACUUGGACUUGCUUGACCAAUCUGCCCAAAAUACUCGACUUGACUAGGAUAUGGGUCUAUGUGACUUGGAUUUAAUUGAGUCCAAUACUUGGACUGACUUGCUAAAAAUGUUUGGCUAAGAUUAUUUUAACUGUUAUGGAUUCAUGAUUAGUGUAAAGAGAUGCGUAGUUAUUUACAUAUGCAAAUUAGCCAUGUGCUCCCGGCAGAAGUUAGCGCUAGAGUGUGCUGCUGGGAAUCUUCAGAGUAUACUUUUCAAAUCUAACAUAACUCUAACAAAGCCAAGUAAACGACAUUUAACCUCACACAGAUGAUAAAGCUAGCUUUAUUUCUGACAUCCUGUGUUUGUUAGCUUACGCUACUUAGCUACUCACCUCAACACUGUACGUUUUCCUUUUCAUUGACGCCUGCACUUUCCCUUUAAAACCACCUGCCAGCACACUAACUCUUACAACUCUGUUUGAGUUGUAAGAGUUAAGACCUCGCUUUACCGACUUCGGAAAAUCCGCAAAAUAAGAUGUCACAGUGAAAAAGGUGACCGGUUCUUUCGCUACUGCCAUUGUGUUUUCAUUCGGUGCGCCGCGGCUUGGACACGGAAGUGGUCCGUGACGUCACACUAGCCAUCCCCAUAGGAUUCCACCGAACACUCGUGCUCAGAGGGAACGAAGACAGUUGUGGUUAAAUGCACUGAGGCGAAAAGACUGGACAGAGACGAUCAGCCGCAGUCAAUUCCAGCCAUUUUCAGUACAAAAAAUCGCUAAUAUUCUAUUUGUAAAUAAAAAAUAUUCAAUUCAAUUCAAUUCAGCUUUAUUCCAGACACUGGGUCCAAAUAUACACACCAUAAGAACAAGGACACAACAAGACAGAGAAAAAAAUACAAUCAAAAACAAUAACCCGUUAAAUAUGACGAGAAAUACAGGGCAUAUUGGACGCGCAUCGCGAGGUGCAUUUCCUUGAAAACGACCGACUCGUGGAUUAUAUACCGACUCCAAGACAUGUUUUGGACAAAAUAGUUUACUGGCUUGUGUUGUCUGGAUGUCCAAGGUUGGAUUAUGGCCGUUUUUUGUGGAAUAUUUUCAUCUGUGUGUAAUAAUGAACCCGGAAAUGUGAGUCGCGCUGUGUACGUUGAAGCCGUGUACAGAGAAAGGAUGGAUGGAUAUUCGUUGUUUGUCGGACAAAUGUGUUUAUAUUACCCACUGUGGUAAUCACAUCUGAAAGUGGUUUAUACCGGCGGAUUCAUGAGAAUCUAAGCUUUCCAUCGGCGUAUAGUGUUUGUAUAAUCGGGUUUGCAACCUUCGGACAUUCUUUAAAUUCCUAUGCAAAUUAGUAAGUGUACCGCUGGCGGUACACUUAAGUUUAACGGGUUAAAAAUGCUCGAGUUCGCAGCGCAAACUCCCAGCGCAAACUAAAUACUUCCAGUCCUGCUUGACUUCUCGCUCCGCUUUUGCCUCCAGCAUAAGCCCCGCCCACAAAAAAACGUCACAAUGUUUGUAAACAAAUAAAGGGUCUAUAGUACUUGACAAACAAAUUUGCAUAUCCUCACUGGCCAUCUUUACGUUUUCAUUGAAUUCGAAACAAAUAAAUAAUAAAAUGAAAACCAAAAUUUUAGUGCUCAUAUAAUAAUUGUUUGUCUACAUUAACUAAACAUAUAUUUCUUUCUGAAAAAAUAAAUAAAUUACCAAUGAAACUGCAAUAUUUAUACACGUCUCUCAGUUUGUUUUCAACCCCGUCACACUAUGCCAUUUACCCCCUAUAAAAAAAUGGAUCAUUCCAAGUGACAUCAACAUUCAGGCAGUGACAUCACACAAGUCUUUUGGAGAAGAUGCUGCAAAGAAAAGCAAGUGUCUAUGUCUUUUCUUAUCAAAAUUUCAUUGUUUUUAUUGUCAAAUUGAGAUCGUCAGUCUCAACAGUUCAACUCUGUUAUAACACGUGAUGAUAGUUAACAGGUUUUAAUGAAAAAAAUAAAAGUUGUGCUGUAAAAUAUUACAAUUUUUGAUGUCCUUAAAUGCCAUGUGGUGCUAAUAUUUUAGUUAAAUGUGGAGUUAUGGUUAAUAUUGGCCAAAAACUUCAACCCCGUCACAUUUUUCAUUGUAACAGGGUUGAAUUACUGUGACAGGGUUGAACGUCUGAUGUGACACUUCUAUAUAGAUAACUCAAUUUUAUACUUUGAUGUAAAAUAAUCAUCAUUGCUAUUUUCUGUUCCAGUAUUUUCAGACAUCACAAUGGCAAAAACAGCAGCAGAGAGGCAAAGAGAGCGCGGGGCAAGAAGGGAUGCAGACCCACAGAGAAGGGAAAAAUAUCUCAGCAGUGAGCGUGAGAGAUGGAAAAGAGACACUGAAGCAGGGAAAAAGAAAAGAAUCAAUAAUCUGAGUCAAAGAGCUGAACAAUAUAAGCGCAAGAUGUGGAGAAAUGCUAAAAAAAAAAGGCAAGGCAAAUUUAUUUAUAUAGCACAUUUCAACAUCGAGGCGAUUCAAAGUGCUUUACAAAGACAUUAAGAACAGAGGAUGACGAUUAUUAAAAGAAAAACAAAAGAAAACAUUUAUGAAAUCAUUUUUUUUAAAAAGUCAGAACAGUAAAGAGAUCAAAAACAGAAGUCAGAAAACAAGGGCUGUUAAAAAUAAAAAGACACGUAUAGUUCUGAAAUCCAAUCAGUACGCUUUGGACCAUCUCAUCAGCAGGUGACAUUCCAUACAGGAGUUUUUUUUACGUAGGUGGUAGCCAAGAACCAACCUGUUUCAACGCAAUAUCCCCAUCAAAGCACAAAUCCCAGCAGCAAUAUGGGAGCAUCUGAACCCUGUACUGGAUUAUGUGCAGGCAGCAUGCCCAGAGGUUUCAUGGAUCCGCUUUUUUAGUGAUGGUCCUUGUACCCAAUACAAGCAGAAGGGCAUUUUUUUUCUUUUUAGCACUGAGCUGGAAAAAAGAGGCAUCAAGGCAGGAACUUGGAAUUUUUUUGAGGCCGGUCAUAGGAAAGGAGCACCAGAUGGUGUUGGAACAGCCUUGAAGAGGACUGCCGACAUGCUAAUAAGCCAUGGCCGGGACAUCCAAGAUGCACAUGAGUUCUUCAAGGCUUUUUUGGAGACCAACUCAGCUAUCAAGUUGUUCUUUAUUGAUGGCAAAACUGUUGAGCAGGCACUUCAGAAGAUACCAUCAAACAGUCCCAUUCAUUUCUUUGUUGAUGGGACAUUAGUCCCAUCAACAAUGAAAAUACAUCAAGUGAUACCUCUUGCUCCAGGACAGAUAAUUUCUUGGGAUGUCAGUUGUAUGUGCUCAGCCAAGAAGCAGUUAACCUGUGUGUGUUGGAAUACACAGCAUUUCAGCUUCAUCAAGAAGGUGCCAGCUGCUGUGUCACAGAGGCAGACACAGAUCCAUUGGGAAGACCCAGAGGUGUUAGGGCAAUGGUGUGUGCUGACAUAUGACAAAGAUCUGUAUCCAGGAAUUAUUCUUGCCGUGGAUGAAACACAUGUGCAAGUUAAAUGCAUGCACAGUGUUGGACAAAACAGGUUCUUCUGGCCAAGGCAGGAGGAUGUGCUAUGGUAUCUUUUUGAUGAUGUGUUUAAGCUUAUUCCAUCCCCAAAGCCUGUGACAUCCUGUCAAAUGGAAAUUCAGAGAGAAGUGUGGGCCAGGCUCUCUGAAUAAAAGAUGUAUAAGUCAAGGGGUGUGAUGGUGUGGUGCUCUCAUGACUUUUAUUGAUCUCUGACAAUAAACUUAAUAUCUUUGGGUUUGGGACAAAAUAUGACACUUGAUGAACUUGCCUUGAAUAUUAGGAAAAAACUGAUCAGCAUUUUUUCACAGUUUUCUGUCAUUUUAUGAACCUUUUUUGACCGUAUAAACAGAUCCAUUUCUUUAUGCUUAAUCUUUUGAUUAAUCUUUUGAUUAAUGCGAAAUGUUCAAUGUUCAAAUGUUUUCUUUGUGUUAUGUUGUCAAAAGAUCAGUUUAUGAUUGAUGAAACCUAAAGGUGUAUGAAUUAGUAUUUUACAGUAAUGCUUUUAGAGUUCAGUUUAUAUCAUUUUUUGAGUACUGAAUACUACUUUUAUUCAGAAUGAGAUUUCAGAAAGGCAGUUCGUCAGACAGAUCCAUUUCAUUCAUGUUUGGUGAAUUUAUGUUUGAUGUUUUUGAUUCAGUGUUAAAUGUUGAAUUUGAAUAUUUAAUAAAAUGUUUGUUUCAUGGUUUUUUAUUAAAGUUGAAAAAUCUGA